rnacentral:rRNA from 1 species
UACAGAGGGUGCGAGCGUUAAUCGGAAUUACUGGGCGUAAAGCGCACGUAGGCGGCUUGGUAUGUCGGGUGUGAAAUCCCCGGGCUCAACCUGGGAACUGCACCCGAAACUGCCUUGCUCGAGUAUGGGAGAGGGAAGUGGAAUUUCCGGUGUAGCGGUGAAAUGCGUAGAUAUCGGGAGGAACACCGGUGGCGAAGGCGGCGACCUGGGUUGAUAUUGACGCUGAGGCGCGAAAGCGUGGGGAGCAAACAGG